rnacentral:rRNA from 1 species
GUGUCAGCCGCCGCGGUAAUACGUAGGGUGCAAGCGUUGUCCGGAAUUAUUGGGCGUAAAGAGCGUGUAGGCGGCUUGAUAAGUCUGCUGUGAAAGUCCAGGGCUCAACCCUGGAAAGCCGGUGGAUACUGUCAAGCUAGAGUCCGGAAGGGGCGAGUGGAAUUCCUGGUGUAGCGGUGAAAUGCGCAGAUAUCAGGAGGAACACCAAUGGCGAAGGCAGCUCGCUGGGACGUGACUGACGCUGAGACGCGAAAGCGUGGGGAGCAAACAGGAUUAGAUACCCGCGUAGUCC